CUAACACUCCUACCGUCAUCAGCAUCAUGCUAUCCAACAGUCUAUGACAUCUAACACUCCUACUGUCAUCAGCGUCAUGCUAUCUAACACUCCACUGUCAUCAGCAUCAUGCUAUCCAACAGUCUAUGACAUCUAACACUCCUACCGUCAUCAGUGUCAUGCUAUCCAACAGUCUGACAUCUAACACUCCUACCGUCAUCAGCGUCAUGCUAUCCAACAGUCUAUGACAUCUAACACUCCUACCGUCAUCAGCGUCAUGCUAUCCAACAGUCUAUGACAUCUAACACUCCUACCGUCAUCAGCGUCAUGCUAUCCAACAGUCUAUGACAUCUAACACUCCUACCGUCAUCAGCGUCAUGCUAUCCAACAGUCUAUGACAUCUAACACUCCUACCGUCAUCAGCGUCAUGCUAUCCAACAGUCUAUGACAUCUAACACUCCUUCUGCAUGGUAGAGCAAGUAGAUGUACAGUUUGAUCACCAGAUAUUUGGUGUUAUAAUUUUAUGAAGUUGCUUUUCUGUUGUUUAAUCUAUUUUUUAACCGAGACAGUAUUGACGGAAUCUUCUAGAUUUUGUCUCAUCGUAAGAAGUUCUCCUGUUAUAUUUACUGGAUUCUAUGUGCAGUAUGUGAUAUAUGUACAUAGUAUUUAUUUUGUAUAAUACAUUUAACAAUUGUUAAAUACCUGUAGUUAACAUUGGAUUCAGGUAGAAUGAAAAGUGAACUAGGUUGCAGUGCAGUGUUUUUGUUCCUGGAGUCGUGUGAUUGGUUGGUUUAGGCUGUGUGCCCACCAUACCCAUGAGACUGAUGACUGAUAAUUUCCUCUCAACCCAUUGGCUAUCUGGCGCUGGAAGAUAUGACGUCAACCAUAACACUACAACGUUGUAAUGUUUCUGUAUUUCUUACAGUUCUGUCCAAUAGAAAGGUUGCCACUUAUUGAUUAGCAUGUCAUCUUGAGGAUGAUGGUCUAAACAUCCUGUACAGAUCCCAUAUACCAGGUUUGGUAUACAUUGUGUUCACCAUUAAAUGUAUUAUACCAGGUUUGGUAUA